rnacentral:rRNA from 1 species
GAUGAACGCUAGCUACAGGCUUAACACAUGCAAGUCGAGGGGCAGCAUGGUCUUAGCUUGCUAAGGCCGAUGGCGACCGGCGCACGGGUGAGUAACACGUAUCCAACCCGCCGUCUACUCUUGGACAGCCUUCUGAAAGGAAGAUUAAUACAAGAUGGCAUCAUGAGUCCGCAUGUUCACAUGAUUAAAGGUAUUCCGGUAGACGAUGGGGAUGCGUUCCAUUAGAUAGUAGGCGGGGUAACGGCCCACCUAGUCUUCGAUGGAUAGGGGUUCUGAGAGGAAGGUCCCCCCANAUUGGAACUGAGACACGGUCCAAACUCCUACGGGAGGCAGCAGUGAGGAAUAUUGGUCAAUGGGCGAGAGCCUGAACCAGCCAAGUCGCGUGGAGGAAGAC